rnacentral:rRNA from 1 species
UACGGGGGGUGCGAGCGUUGUCCGGAAUCACUGGGCGUAAAGGGCGCGUAGGUGGUUUGAUAAGGGUGUGGUGAAAGCCCGGGGCUCAACCCCGGGUCUGCCGUGCCGACUGUCAAACUCGAGGGCUGUAGAGGCAGACGGAAUUCCGGGUGUAGCGGUGGAAUGCGUAGAGAUCCGGAGGAAGACCGGUGGCGAAGGCGGGUCUCUGGACAGUUCCUGACGCUGAGGCACGAAGGCCAGGGGAGCAAACGGG